UACGUAGGGGGCUAGCGUUGCUCGGAAUGACUGGGCGUAAAGGGCGCGUAGGCGGCUUGCCAAGUCAGGCGUGAAAUUCCUGGGCUCAACCUGGGGACUGCGCUUGAGACGUGUGGGCUUGAGUGGGGAAGAGGGUCGUGGAAUUCCCAGUGUAGAGGUGAAAUUCGUAGAUAUUGGGAAGAACACCGGUGGCGAAGGCGGCGACCUGGUCCUUGACUGACGCUGAGGCGCGAAAGCGUGGGGAGCAAACAGG
rnacentral:rRNA from 1 species